rnacentral:misc_RNA from 1 species
AAGUCGUAACAAGGUUUCCGUAGGUGAACCUGCGGAAGGAUCAUUAUCGAAUAAAUCUGGCGUGGCUGUCGCUGGCUCCUCCGGGAGCAUGUGCACGCCCGUCACUUUUAUUUCUCCACCUGUGCACACACUGUAGGCCUUGGAUACCUCUCGCCGCAAGGCGGAUGCGUGGCUUGCUGUUGCUUUCGCAAGAAGGCCGGCUCGCCAUGAAUUUCCAGGUCUAUGAUUUCUUUUACACACCCCGAACUGAAUGUUAUGGAAUGUGAUCUCAAGGCCUUGUGCCUAUAAACCUAUACAACUUUCAGCAACGGAUCUCUUGGCUCUC